rnacentral:rRNA from 1 species
UACGGGGGGGGCAAGCGUUGUUCGGAAUUACUGGGCGUAAAGGGCUCGUAGGCGGCCAACUAAGUCAGACGUGAAAUCCCUCGGCUUAACCGGGGAACUGCAUCUGAUACUGGAUGGCUUGAGUUCGGGAGAGGGAUGCGGAAUUCCAGGUGCAGCGGUGAAAUGCGUAGAUAUCGGGAGGAACACCAGUGGCGAAGGCGGUCUUCUGGGAUGAUCCUGACGCUCAGACACGAAAGCUAGGGGAGCGAACGGG